CGGGAGCUGUUAUAGUGACGCC
rnacentral:siRNA from 1 species